rnacentral:tRNA from 1 species
GGAGAGGUGACAGAGUGGCCUAAUGUACCUGAUUCGAAAUCAGGAGUACUUCUUUUGUACCGUGGGUUCGAAUCCCACUCUCUCCG